AUUGAACGCUGGCGGCAGGCCUAACACAUGCAAGUCGAGCGGGGUUUUCAGACCUAGCGGCGGACGGGUGAGUAAUGCGUAGGAAGCUACCCGAUAGAGGGGGAUACCAGUUGGAAACGACUGUUAAUACCGCAUAAUGUCUACGGACCAAAGUGUGGGACCUUCGGGCCACAUGCUAUCGGAUGCGCCUACGUGGGAUUAGCUAGUUGGUGAGGUAAUGGCUCACCAAGGCGACGAUCCCUAGCUGGUUUGAGAGGAUGAUCAGCCACACUGGAACUGAGAGGCGGUCCAGACUCCUACGGGAGGCAGCAGUGGGGAAUAUUGGACAAUGGGCGCAAGCCUGAUCCAGCCAUGCCGCGUGUGUGAAGAAGGCCUUCGGGUUGUAAAGCACUUUCAGCGAGGAGGAAGGGGUGAGUGUUAAUAGUACUCAUCUUUGACGUUACUCGCAGAAGAAGCACCGGCUAACUCUGUGCCAGCAGCCGCCGUAACAC
rnacentral:rRNA from 1 species